CCGGUGGAUGUCCGUCCGACGGGUGACGAGGGUGACCCCAGACGAGGCGGCUUAAUUGGGAUGGGAACUGACUGGUGAGGCUUAAUCGUCGACCAAUGGGUCGAAUCUGCAUAAGGAAGGCAACCAGCACACACUCGCAGGCGGGUCGUGGAAACAUUUUUUUGUUUUUUUCUCUUGGUCUGCCCCGCGUCGAAUUUUGAAGGCAGAAAAUGUCGGUCGGAGGCGAGCAUAACCAGGCCUAACUUAAACCUGUUAAAAGACAACCCGGGUUCGCAGCGCGAUUUUAAAAAACAAGAUUGAAGAAGUCAGAAAUUCUAUCUACAUGCUGCAUAUAUGAUCAGUCCCAAAACAUUUCGGGUUGUUCCAGGCACCGUCGAAUACCUGGAAAACGUGUUUAUUGUCAACUCUACAGGAUCGACCGAAGUCCAUGGAGUUGGGGACAUUCGAUGUGCCCCAUAGCAGUGAGACGCCACUGUUUUUUUCGCCGUAUAAUUAUUAUGGUGGGACUGAAAAUGAACUUAAGCAAGAUGUGAUGGUGAUACAGUAUGGUUUGGAGAACUUCAAAAGUCGGUUCGCGUCGUGGUUCCAAAGCAGUAACUUUAGGUUCCCUACAUUUACAGAAUGUUGCAUUAAGUACUCAUUUUUUAAUUUGCAAUUUUUACAUUUCAUUUUUACUUUUUUUCUUACUCUAUACAAGGCUUUGAUAUAAAGUUUUUUAGCAAUA